rnacentral:lncRNA from 1 species
CUGCGCGCGCGCCGUUUCUGGCGGAUCCCCAGUGCGCGGCGCGCUGUUUACACCGGCGUGGUACUAGUCACGGAGCCGCACCCCUCGGAAAGCGCGGAGUCGAUGACAGCCACUUCACAGGCUCACGCGCUCCUAGUGUGGGCUUGAAGGGGACGGGGACCGAUUACCAAAGGAGAGCGCUGAGUACGGAAGACACAGGGCAGCCUUUGUCUUGGGUUUAGCGCUGAUGCGCUCAACCCUGAGUCGGGUUCACUGCAACUGUUGUGUCCGAUUUCGGUUCCCUGCAACCGCCCUCCUGGGCGAGAGAUGUCAUUGUGUUCCUGCGGCCAGCGGGACUGAGAGCUGGGACUUAAGACGCCAGGAGGGUCCUGCGCUCACGGGAAAUGUACCCCAAAAGAACUCUGAGAGAAUAUACUCAACUGUCCUGCUGUGAUUAAACAAGACUGCUGUAUUUUACCUGAGCUUGGCAAAGCAAGGAUAUGAACAAUUGUGCAGGUGGGCUACUCAGGGCGAGUGAAGAGAUAAGGCAUCCAAUCAGGGAUUGGCCACCUGCAGCCCUGCCAAUAUGCCCCUCCACCAGAUUU